CUUCGGCGUCCGAGUUGUAAUUUGAAGAAGGUAUCUUUGGUUUUGGCUCUUGUCUAUGUUCCUUGGAACAGGACGUCACAGAGGGUGAGAAUCCCGUGCGAUGAGAUGCCCAAUUCCAUGUAAAGUUCCUUCGACGAGUCGAGUUGUUUGGGAAUGCAGCUCUAAGUGGGUGGUAAAUUCCAUCUAAAGCUAAAUAUUGGCGAGAGACCGAUAGCGAACAAGUACUGUGAAGGAAAGAUGAAAAGAACUUUGAAAAGAGAGUGAAAAAGUACGUGAAAUUGUUGAAAGGGAAGGGCUUGAGGUCAGACUUGGUUUUACCAGGCCAGCAUCAGUUUGGAUGGCAGGAUAAUAGCUAAGGAAAGUGGCACCACUUCGGUGGUGUGUUAUAGCCUUGGUUGAUACUGCCUGUCUAGACUGAGGACUGCGUCUUUGACUAGGAUGC
rnacentral:rRNA from 1 species